CCAAAUGGCUAGGUAUAAUUGUAGUUUGGAGUUUAGUUAGUUUUGGAUUUGUUUCAGUUUGACGUUAGUGGAUCAAAUUUGAUAGUUUUUUUUAAUGGCUUUGAUCAUAUGCUUUGUUCAUUCCAUUCUUUUUCUUUAUAUUUGGAUUGCCUUUUAUCAAGUUGAUGCAUUAUUGGUUUUAUUUUCUGGAAGCAUUUCAUAAUCACAAGUUAUUAC
rnacentral:lncRNA from 1 species